GAAAGAUUGUGGUGCUUGAGGAUGUGCCUUCGGAACCUCCUGCGGUAUUCAUGCUCGACCGAGGAGAUAUUUUCAGCUACAUAAUGGCUUCCAAUAGUUGGGUAAAGGAAACAAGUCUGCCAAGAAAAGCAUCUGAUGAAUCCUCUGUUGGCUUUGUUGCAUUGGAUGGGGAGCUGCAUGUGAUGACUCAUUUAAACGUGGUUAAAUCAAAGGAGUGCCAAAGAUUAAGGCAGCAGAAAAGGUCAGCAACUAUGCUUGUACAAAUAUACCAUCCUAGGACGAAGUCAUGGA
rnacentral:misc_RNA from 1 species